AAAAAAAACACAGAGGGGUGUGGAGAAAGAGUGAGUUCACAUAAGCGAAUGGGUUAAAAAUCUGACAGACAAUAUAAAUAGGUCACAUGAUUUGAGAUGUUCAAAAAUGCAGGGUGUGUCCAGGUGAGAUGAAAAGUACUGCUCUGGUGAGCCACAGAUGCCGUCUUAUAGAGCUGCAGUCAGCAUCAGUAAUAGCCUUAAUUUGGGUCGAGGAUCGGCCUGUGUCUUCACGGACAGCCCAUCGGGUCCUCCGGCCCAGUCCAGGUUUGUGUAUAUAUAAAUAGGAGCAGUGGAGGCUCAUGUGGUUAAGGCUCUGGGUUGUUGAUUGGAACCCUCUCUGCUCCAGGGUUGCUGUAUCAUGGCUGACUCUGCGCUCAGACCCCAACCUCCAAAAGUCGGGAUAUGCAAAGAAAGGAUUUCACAGUGCUGCAAUGUAUACGUGACAAAAUAAAGAUUUCGAACAUGAGAUUGUAGAUUCUGGGUUCUGAAGUCGUUUCAACUGAAAUUAUUAGCUCCUUUGAGAUUUCAGGCCACGUUAAAAACAUUAUCAAAUAAAAAUAAAUAAAUGCUAGUUUUAACUAAUUUUUUUUUUCAAACCCAGAAAGCUGACAAUGUAUCUGUGCACGCUGUAUCUUUUAGAAAUGAAGAAAGCAAAAUUGUGUUCGUUAUAACUGCUAGGUAAACAAGGUCACAGCAAGGUGUUUUAUUUUGAUUGAUUUUGCUGUUGAUGCGAUGAGCUCAUAAAUCCUCUCUGACCACAGAAAAGCCCCGUGGCAAACCCCGCCCAGAGUUUCUAUCACACCCUCGCUGCUACUCUGGCAGUCAUA